CAGUAGCCGCGGGAAUACGGAGGAUCCAAGCGUUAUCAGGAAUCAUUGGGUUUAAAGGGUCCGUAGGCGGUCUUGUAAGUCAGUGGUGAAAGCCCAUCGCUCAACGGUGGAACGGCCAUUGAUACUGCAGGACUUGAAUUAUUGGGAAGUAACUAGAAUAUGUAGUGUAGCGGUGAAAUGCUUAGAGAUUACAUGGAAUACCAAUUGCGAAGGCAGGUUACUACCAAUUGAUUGACGCUGAUGGACGAAAGCGUGGGUAGCGAACAGGAUUAGAUACCCCAGUAGUCCCUGUCUCUUAUAC
rnacentral:rRNA from 1 species